AUUGAACGCUGGCGGCAUGCUUUACACAUGCAAGUCGAACGGUAACAGGCCGCAAGGUGCUGACGAGUGGCGAACGGGUGAGUAAUGCAUCGGAACGUGCCCAGUCGUGGGGGAUAACUACUCGAAAGAGUAGCUAAUACCGCAUACGAUCUAUGGAUGAAAGCGGGGGACCGUAAGGCCUCGCGCGAUUGGAGCGGCCGAUGUCAGAUUAGGUAGUUGGUGGGGUAAAGGCUCACCAAGCCAACGAUCUGUAGCUGGUCUGAGAGGAGAACCAGCCACACUGGGACUGAGACACGGCCCAGACUCCUACGGGAGGCAGCAGUGGGGAAUUUUGGACAAUGGGCGCAAGCCUGAUCCAGCAAUGCCGCGUGCAGGAAGAAGGCCUUCGGGUUGUAAACUGCUUUUGUACGGAACGAAACGGCUCUGGUUAAUACCCGGGGCUAAUGACGGUACCGUAAGAAUAAGCACCGGCUAACUACGUG
rnacentral:rRNA from 1 species